rnacentral:rRNA from 1 species
UACGUAGGGACCAAGCGUUGUUCGGAUUUACUGGGCGUAAAGGGCGCGUAGGCGGCGUGACAAGUCACUUGUGAAAUCUCUGGGCUUAACCCAGAACGGCCAAGUGAAACUGUUGUGCUAGAGUGCAGAAGGGGCAAUCGGAAUUCCCGGUGUAGUGGUGAAAUGCGUAGAUAUCGGGAGGAACACCAGUGGCGAAGGCGGGCUACCUGGCCCAGCCUCUUGACGCUGAGGCGCGAAAGCUAGGGGAGCAAACGGG